CAUUAUGAAGCUACAUUAGCAUUAACCUUUUAAGUUAAAGACCGGGAGCUUUAAUCCUCCCCAUAAUGA
rnacentral:tRNA from 1 species